rnacentral:rRNA from 1 species
AGUGAACGCUGGCGGCAGGCCUAACACAUGCAAGUCGAGCGGCAGCGCGGGGGCAACCCUGGCGGCGAGCGGCGGACGGGUGAGGAAUUCGUCGGAAUCUGCCUUUUUGUGGGGGAUAACGUAGGGAAACUUACGCUAAUACCGCAUACGUCCUACGGGAGAAAGUGGGGGACCGCAAGGCCUCACGCAGAAAGAUGAGCCGACGACCGAUUAGCUAGUUGGUGGGGUAAAGGCCCACCAAGGCGACGAUCGGUAGCUGGUCUGAGAGGAUGAUCAGCCACACUGGGACUGAGACACGGCCCAGACUCCUACGGGAGGCAGCAGUGGGGAAUAUUGGACAAUGGGCGCAAGCCUGAUCCAGCCAUGCCGCGUGUGUGAAGAAGGCCUUAGGGUUGUAAAGCACUUUUGUCCGGAAAGAAAUCCCUGGAGCUAAUACCUUCGGGGGAUGACGGUACCGGAAGAAUAAGCACCGGCUAACUUCGUG